rnacentral:tRNA from 1 species
AAAGCAACGAAUUAAAAUCCAAAUAAAUCAACAUCAAUGAUUCCCGUCAACCGGCGGCUGCUU